UCUUACAACCUUUUGGAACGUGCCGUGAGUAUAAAAGUGGCAACAGCGACUGGAACAGCAAUAGUGUGGAUUGUCUGGAGACAAGAGACAAGCCAGGAGAACAAAACGAAGCAAAGCGACGAAGAACCGAGAGAUGCUGCAGAUGGGGACGUUUCUUUCCGGCCGGAGUAGCGGCACAGUCCGAGGCCUGGCCUGUGCCGCCGGGCUGAUCGUGCUCACCACCACGGGAUACUACGCGUAUCGCAGGCUGAAGAGGACCAGCGACCUUUGAGCUGCUGAACGGGAAGCUGCUCAAGUCCCUGGAGGUACGCAGGUACAUCGCGUGCUUGGUGAGAGGUCCAGAAGUCCUGCUGUGGUGAAUCUCCACCACCACCAAAAUGUCCAGCAAUCAUUGGGUAACAGCAGUCUCCAUUUCGUUUUACAAAACUUUAUUCAAGACCUCGAUCACCUGCAUACAGGUAAGAUCUUGAUUGUUGUAGCACCACAAAGCUUUAGUAAGUACAAAGUAAGUGUAAAAAGUAAAUUUCUGCAUUUUCUCUCAAAUGUGAGUCUGCGGGAGCGUGAGGGCGCUGGUGUCCUGCCAUUAGUAUACGAGACGACCGUCCACGUGCCGUAUGAGGAUGGCGAAGUAAAUUCAUUACGCCAUCUGGUUCUUUGUAAAGUUCGUCUCUGUUACGUUUGUUCGCACUGGCCAUGUUUUACGUUUUUGUUCACAGCAAACCAUUUACCAGGUGAGUCGCUUGUACCAUCGCGCGGACGGUCAGUUGGACAUGUCCCAUGAGGAGGAAGGAAGUUUCUUCACUCCUCAUGCUGACUUUGAAGUUCAGUCUUAAUUUGAGGUGAUUUCAGACCUCGUCCUGAAGCUGCCUGCCAUCUGCGAGGCGUUCUCUGUGAGUCUUUACUCGUCUAGUUUCUCUGAAGACUCCACAAGUUACCCCACAAGCAAGUUCCAGACUGUCUCAACUCAUGUGGUGUGUUCGUCGAACUCGUCUUCUUCAGCUGCUUAAUCACCGGCUUGCCGCCUAAAGCUGUACAGUUGGACGGGGGAUUCUUGCAGCAUAUGAACAGCCAGUGGGACAUGGACAUCAGGGAGCCUGAAGCAGAGCAGCUCUUUUUGCUGCUUUCCUUAAAGGUGACAAUGCUGUUUGAGGAACCGUUCUCGCAGCCUCUGGACCUGUACAUUGACCCAGCAGCUUUAGCCACCACGGUGCUACGACUGGUGAAGGAUCAUGUGCAGAAGAUGCUGAAGGCCAUGGCAGGAGUCUGAGCAACAUCACACUCCUCUGGCACUUACUCACACACACACACACACACACACACACACACACACACACACACACACACACACACACACACACACACACACACACUCACACCUCUGUUUUCUUUCCCUUGCUUUCUCUUUCUCUUCAUUUCACUAUCUCUACAGGUAAGUACUUAUUGCACUGUCUUACUGUGUACACAUUUAAACAUGUCUUUCUUUUCUUCUCUCCCUGAGCAGCUACACAAUACACAACAUCGAUGGCCUGGCCUCUAACAACAACACCUGCAGCUCCAACACCAGUAUCCUUUUUGUUUUUAGUUAAUCUUAGUAUAGAUUUUAUAAGAUUUUUCUUAGUAUAGUAUAAGAUUUAUUAACAUUUUUGUAUACUAUUUAUUAAGACUUUAG